rnacentral:misc_RNA from 1 species
CGCACCGCCGAGGAGAGCCAUGUCGUCUGCCUUCGAAGCUCGCGUCUCUCUUGUCUUCGCCCUCGUUUCUCAGGCCUCCAAUGUCUCUCAGCGACUUUUGGUCGAUUUGACGAAUGAAACUGCGAAAUACGUGUUCCCGAAGAGGUUCGAGAGCCGGAAUUUGGAGGAAGCACUGAUGGCCGUUCCUGAUCUUGAAACGGUGGAGUAUAAAGUAUUGAGUAGAAGAGACCAGUAUGAAAUCAGAGAAGUUGAGCCUUACUUUAUAGCGGAG